CCUACGGGAUGCAGCAGUGGGGAAUAUUGGGCAAUGGAGGAAACUCUUACCCAGCAAUGCCGCGUGAGUGAAGAAGGUCUUCGGAUUGUAAAGUUCUUUAAUUGGGGAAGAAAAAAAUGACGGUAAACAAGGAAUAAGCGCCGGGUAACUACGUGCCAGCAGCGGCAGUAAUACGUAGGGGGGCAGCAGUGGUCGGAAUGACGGGGCGGAAAGGGUGAGGAGGCGGUGUAUGCAGUUAGAAUGUAAAUACCUAGAGCUUAACCCAGGUGCUGCUCCUAAGACUGCGAUACUUGAGUGCAGUAGAGGCAAGUGGAAUUCCUAGUGUAGCGGUGGAAUGCGUAGAUAUUAGGAGGAACAUCAGUGGCGAAGGCGACCUUCUGGACUGUAACUGACGCUGAGGCACGAAAGUGUGGGGAGCAAACAGGAUUAGAUACCCCAGUAGUC
rnacentral:rRNA from 1 species